GAUGAACGCUGGCGGCGUGCCUAAUACAUGCGAGUCGAGCGAACAGACGAGGAGCUUGCUCCUCUGACGUUAGCGGCGGACGGGUGAGUAACACGUGGAUAACCUACCUAUAAGACUGGGAUAACAUCGGGAAACCGGAGCUACUACCGGAUAAUAUAUUGAACCGCAUGGUUCAAUAGUGAAAGACGGUUUUGCUGUCACUUAUAGAUGGAUCCGCGCCGCAUUAGCUAGUUGGUAAGGUAACGGAUUACCAAGGCAACGAUGCGUAGCCGACCUGAGAGGGUGAUCGGCCACACUGGAACUGAGACACGGUCCAGACUCCUACGGUGGGCAGCAGUAGGGAAUCUUCCGCGAUGGGCGAAAGCCGGACGUAGCAACGCCGCGUGAGUGAUGAAGGUCUUCGGCUGGUAAAGCUCUGUUAUUAGGGAAGAACAAAUGUGUAAGUAACUAUGCACGUAUUGACGGUACCGAAUCAGAAAGCUACGGCUAACUACGUG
rnacentral:rRNA from 1 species